AGAGUUUGAUCAUGGCUCAGGAUGAACGCUGGCGGCGUGCCUAAUACAUGCAAGUCGAACGCUUUGUGGUUCAACUGAUUUGAAGAGCUUGCUCAGAUAUGACGAUGGACAUUGCAAAGAGUGGCGAACGGGUGAGUAACACGUGGGAAACCUACCUCUUAGCAGGGGAUAACAUUUGGAAACAGAUGCUAAUACCGUAUAACAAUGACAACCGCAUGGUUGUUAUUUAAAAGAUGGUUCUGCUAUCACUAAGAGAUGGUCCCGCGGUGCAUUAGCUAGUUGGUAAGGUAAUGGCUUACCAAGGCGAUGAUGCAUAGCCGAGUUGAGAGACUGAUCGGCCACAAUGGGACUGAGACACGGCCCAUACUCCUACGGGAGGCAGCAGUAGGGAAUCUUCCACAAUGGGCGAAAGCCUGAUGGAGCAACGCCGCGUGUGUGAUGAAGGGUUUCGGCUCGUAAAACACUGUUGUAAGAGAAGAAUGACAUUGAGAGUAACUGUUCAAUGUGUGACGGUAUCUUACCAGAAAGGAACGGCUAAAUACGUGCCAGCAGCCGCGGUAAUACGUAUGUUCCAAGCGUUAUCCGGAUUUAUUGGGCGUAAAGCGAGCGCAGACGGUUAUUUAAGUCUGAAGUGAAAGCCCUCAGCUCAACUGAGGAAUUGCUUUGGAAACUGGAUGACUUGAGUGCAGUAGAGGAAAGUGGAACUCCAUGUGUAGCGGUGAAAUGCGUAGAUAUACGGAAGAACACCAGUGGCGAAAGCGGCUUUCUGGACUGUAACUGACGUUGAGGCUCGAAAGUGUGGGUAGCAAACAGGAUUAGAUACCCUGGUAGUCCACACCGUAAACGAUGAGUGCUAGGUGUUUGAGGGUUUCCGCCCUUAAGUGCCGCAGCUAACGCAUUAAGCACUCCGCCUGGGGAGUACGACCGCAAGGUUGAAACUCAAAGGAAUUGACGGGGACCCGCACAAGCGGUGGAGCAUGUGGUUUAAUUCGAAGCAACGCGAAGAACCUUACCAGGUCUUGACAUCCCUUGACAACUCCAGAGAUGGAGCGUUCCCUUCGGGGACAAGGUGACAGGUGGUGCAUGGUUGUCGUCAGCUCGUGUCGUGAGAUGUUGGGUUAAGUCCCGCAACGAGCGCAACCCUUAUUACUAGUUGCCAGCAUUCAGUUGGGCACUCUAGUGAGACUGCCGGUGACAAACCGGAGGAAGGUGGGGAUGACGUCAAAUCAUCAUGCCCCUUAUGACCUGGGCUACACACGUGCUACAAUGGCGUAUACAACGAGUUGCCAACCCGCGAGGGUGAGCUAAUCUCUUAAAGUACGUCUCAGUUCGGAUUGUAGGCUGCAACUCGCCUACAUGAAGUCGGAAUCGCUAGUAAUCGCGGAUCAGCACGCCGCGGUGAAUACGUUCCCGGGUCUUGUACACACCGCCCGUCACACCAUGAGAGUUUGUAACACCCAAAGCCGGUGGGGUAACCUUCGGGAGCCAGCCGUCUAAGGUGGGACAGAUGAUUAGGGUGAAGUCGUAACAAGGUAACC
rnacentral:rRNA from 1 species